rnacentral:lncRNA from 1 species
UAGGCGUUGCUGCCCAUAGUAUAUGAUAGUUCAAACAUUCACUCCUAAAAACAUGUACUAAGUUAACAUGCAUAAUACAAUUUAUGCUCUUCGCUCUCCCCUAGUAAGACAAUUUAAGUACUAAUUUGGAACCCUUCCAUAGGAACGGCCCCUUCGACGACAAGAAGAAAUGCCACCCGCUGAUGAUCUCUUCUGUUUCCCUCGAGAAUUCCGGCCGCCACUAGAUGGCAAAAGCAUGGCUUACAAUGCGUCGUCAAAGAUAGUAGACAGCACAAGCCCCUGCACAAAUUCGCUCCUCUGAGCCC